ensembl:snoRNA
GAGCAUGUUCCCAAGGUCCGUGGCUUGUGUGGCCAUCUGAUCUCCAACUGCACGCAAGAGCAACUUGGGGAGACUGUGACAGCUCAGGUCAGCAAAGGCUCUGCAGCUGCUACUCACCUUCCCUAUAAAA